rnacentral:rRNA from 1 species
CAGGGAAUAUUGCACAAUGGGCGAAAGCCUGAUGCAGCGACGCCGCGUGAGGGAUGAAGGCUCUCGAGUUGUAAACCUCUUUCAGUAGGGACGAAGCGAAAGUGACGGUACCUACAGAAGAAGCCCCGGCCAACUACGUGCCAGCAGCCGCGGUAAUACGUAGGGGGCAAGCGUUGUCCGGAUUUAUUGGGCGUAAAGAGCUCGUAGGCGGCUUAGCAAGUCGGUCGUGAAAUACCGAGGCUCAACCUCGGAAUGCCGGUCGAAACUGCUAUGGCUAGGGUCCGGUAGAGGAGAGUGGAAUUCCCGGUGUAGCGGUGAAAUGCGCAGAUAUCGGGAGGAACACCAGUAGCGAAGGCGGCUCUCUGGGCCGGUACCGACGCUGAGGAGCGAAAGCGUGGGGAGCAAACAGGAUUAGAUACCCCCGUAGUCC